UUGAUAUUUUUUUAAUUUUUGGCAAAAAAAUUAUUUUUGAGAAGCUUCAUCCGUCGCCAACUUCACCCCAGAUAAAAAGUGUGUUUUUAAAUGAAGAUUUUGCGGAGAAAAUAACAAGCUUGAAGACGAUGAGACUAAAAGUUAAGUAUUUAAGAUUGUUUGGAAUAAUAACGAUUUUUUGAACUUUUGAAGUUGAUUUUUUAAUUGAAAUUAAAAUUAAUUGAUUAAGUUUAUCUACGUAUAAGGUAAAAGGCCCAAUAGCGGAACGAGACCCAGUACCGGAACGAUUUCAGGAUUAUUAUAUUAUAUCUUGUUGAGUAUGAUGUGGAAUUUUAAGAAUUUUUAUUUUUUCGAAAUCUCAAUGUUUUGGGUAUGAAAUAAAAUAUAAGUAAAAUUUACAAGUC